AAACUGCUGGAGAUCAGCAACCAGCAGGAGAGCAGGUGAUGCUCCAGGGAAGGUGAUCCCUACAGGACAGGCUCUUCCUAGGAGGGUGCCACAGGAGAGAAAUUACUUUGUUGACCACCACUUUAAUCACCUUUAAAUGCACCGAGUUUAUUCUAGCAAAAAUCCAACAUUCAGGUUGGAGAAGUUUCCUCAAGCUGCUCAGUUUGUUAAAAACUGAAAGCACAAAUAACCUCUGGAGAGAUCUUUUCUUCCAAAACACAGAUCUUCAGUUCCAAGUCUGAAAUGUCUCCUUCUUCAUAUAGUCAUUUAUCAAAUAAUGUAACAUUAAAGCAACACUCAUCUCUGGUAAUAAACCAAGAAAUGGGAGUUUUGCUUGCAAAAUAAGAUGAAGCUUUAAUAAUAAUCAUAAAAAAGUGAGGGUUUUUUUCCCCCAGUUGGCAAAACCCAGCACUUCCUGCAAAGUGGCAAAUAAGUAACUGAAGAAAAGACAGAGCCUGCUCUGAGCUGUGAGGUUUAAAUCAAAACAUGCACACUUAAAAAAUAUUUCAGAGUUUUAGAGGCCCUAAAAAGGAGGAAGAACAAUUCAUCUGCCUUGGGUUUAGGGUGGUGACUUGGGUUGUUCAAAGAGACAGCACGUGUGUGGUGAUACUCCCCUGGAAAAUGAAGAUAUUCCCCCAUCAAAGCGGGAACCUGCAAACGUGUGUUGCAUAAAGGGGGAAAUUCCAGGCAUUCUUGGGGAAAUUGCAACUUCUCCACUGCAGGACUGAGCCUGUGAAAUGCUUGUAGACCAUCCUGGGAGUCUGUGUCCAGGGCUGGGAGGACAUGCAGGAGAGAGACAGGGGGUCAGAAUGCUCCUGUGUGAGGAGGGAAGGAGGAACUCGUUGUUCCUCAUGGAUUGGACAUUUCUUCCCAGCACAGUGUUGCAGUCAUGCUGAUAACCACAGCUCCACCUGGCCAUCAAUGAUUCCUAGAGACCCUUCCCAGCACUGGGAGGCUGCAAGGAUGAGAAGCAGCAGUGUUUGAGCUGUUAAUUGGAUGGCAUCUCCAUCAUCCUGACUCUGCUGGCAGAGCUGCAAUGAAACUCAAAAUUCCUUUAUUUUCCCCUCAAACCACUCAACGGAGUCCAGCUUGAUGGAAGUGGACAAGGAGCCCUGGAAGGAGAGAGCAGUAUCCAUGUCCCUUCCGUGGGAGCCUUAUUCCCACUCGUGCUGAAUAUUCCCCAAAAUCCAUCAAACCAGUGGGAUCAAACCUGUGACAGCUGUCAGGUAAGCCUUAAUGUAGAGCUGAUCCAUGUUCUCCACCUCCCUUGUGGCCUCACUGCUCUUUUUAGGGCUCCUUUUCUUACUCUUUGGUGUUUGAAAAUCUCCAAAACUCCACGUCUGGAGCUGGAGAGCAGCUCACACACUUUGACAGAUGAAUGAUGUCCUUCUUUGUCUGUUCACUGCAAAAAUAUUCCCCUGCCUUCCUCGCCUUCAUGUGUCCAGUAGCUUUAAGUGGCUUUCCAAAUGUGUUUAUCUGGAAUUCUUUACAUUUUUACCCUCCAUCCCAUGCCUGGGAAGCAACCAGGCCCUUGGAUGCUGGAAUCAGUGCUAAUGUAGGUCUGGUGUGUGGAGUUAUCUAGAGGAGAUGAUCCUGUUGAAGGAAGAAGAGCACAGAAAUCAGUGCCCCCAGUGAAAAUGCAAGUGAUAAAUGUACCCUGCGAGCACAUUCCUGCUCCGUGUGUCCCGGCAUCGCUCACGAUUCCCUCCUAGGAAGAAGGAGAGGGAAGCAGGGAGCUGUAAAUUACAGCCUGGCUUAAUUGGCUGGCUCAGGUACAGGAGGCUGGGCUGGGAAUACACAAAAUAUCUUUAUGUAAAAGAAGUGGUUCUUAGCAGGGGAUGCAGUGAAAUGGGGGUUUCAAGCAGUUGGUGUCUUGUGGUUGGAUCCUCUGGUGUCUGAGAAGGUGCAAACUCCAACUGAACCUUUUCCUGCCAUUGGGGCUUUCUUAAUAUUCCUCCCUCCCCUGUGGAUUCUCUGGUGUCUAAUAAUAUUCCUAAUAAGCUGCAACGUGAGCUCAACAAUUUCUUUCAGUGUGGGGCAUUAAUAGGUCUCAGGGCACGGGAGAGGGCUCUAUUUUCAUAAAACUUGUAGGAACUGUAAGACCUCUGCCCCUUCCACCAAGCUGGGUUGGAAUUGGCCAACAAAUUUGGAAGUUAUUGGAGACGGGGGAGAUGAGUAUGUUUGUUUUAUUUAUAUUUUAUAUAUGUAUCCCACGUGCAGACUGACUGCAGAAACCUCAUUUCUUAAGAGACCGAGCUUAAACCUUAUGUUUUGCUUCUCUAUUGUAAUAAACUGUGUCUCCUUUUAUUUA